rnacentral:tRNA from 1 species
UUUAAAUAGCUUAAAUUAGAGCAUGAUAUUGAAGAUAUUAGGGUAAUCAUUAGAUUUUUAAAU